UACGUAGGCAGCGAGCGUUGUUCGGAAUUACUGGGCGUAAAGCGUGCGUAGACGGUUGCGUAAGUCAGAUGUGAAAGCCCCGGGCUCAACCUGGGAAUUGCAUUUGAGACUGCGUAGCUAGGGUGCGGAAGAGGGAUGCAGAAUUCCAGGUGUAGCGGUGAAAUGCGUAGAUAUCUGGAGGAACACCGGUGGCGAAGGCGGCAUCCUGGACCAAUUCUGACGCUGAUGAGCGAAAGCCAGGGGAGCAAACGGG
rnacentral:rRNA from 1 species